rnacentral:rRNA from 1 species
UACGUAGGGGGCUAGCGUUGUCCGGAAUCAUUGGGCGUAAAGGGCGCGUAGGCGGCCAUGCGUGUCUUCCGUGAAAUCCCUCGGCUUAACUGAGGACGUGCGGAAGAAACUGCAAGGCUCGAGUCCGGGAGAGGGGGGUGGAAUUCCCAGUGUAGCGGUGAAAUGCGUAGAUAUUGGGAGGAACACCGGUGGCGAAGGCGGCCCCCUGGACCGGUACUGACGCUGAGGCGCGAAAGCGUGGGUAGCAAACGGG